rnacentral:rRNA from 1 species
UACGGGGGGGGCAAGCGUUGUUCGGAAUUACUGGGCGUAAAGGGUUCGUAGGUGGCCAACUUAGUCAGACGUGAAAUCCCUCAGCUCAACUGGGGAACUGCGUCUGAUACUGGUUGGCUCGAGUGCAGGAGAGGAACGCGGAAUUCCGGGUGUAGCGGUGAAAUGCGUAGAUAUCUGGAGGAACACCGGUGGCGAAGGCGGCAUCCUGGACCGGCAUUGACGCUGAGGCGCGAAAGCCAGGGGAGCAAACGGG